UGCGCUCAUCGGACUGUGAAUGUGUGUAAAUGUUUAUUAUUUAGCACUUGAUUUUCUAAGUGCAUGUAUGACGUGUUGUGAAUGUGACAUGUAGUCCAGAGCGCUUUGAGUAGUCUGGGAGAGUCGAAAAGCAAUAUAUAUGAAUCAUUCCUUUCAUCAUAUUAGUGAGUGUUUGUGUAAGUGAAUUACUUGUAUUAUGUCAACCAAUGUAAACCUUUAAAACUAAAACGUGUAUUUUUUUUUUACAUUACUAUACUCAUGAGCUAAUAAUUAUUUCACACUCAGGAUGAAGGAAACAGUGGCGGCGAAACACUCGAGAUGUAUCCACCUGAAAAGGAAGGAAAUGAAUCUCUCUUUUUGCUCAAACAGGAUGUUUCAGAGGACAGUGAUGACAAUGGCAUUUUCCAAAACAUUUCUCCUGAAUUGAAACAGCCACAAACUGGUGUGUCUACACCACAAUCGUCUACAUCACUCGAACAGGACUGGAGUACAGAUUCACCCAACAACAGUGACAGUAAUGCUGAAGAGGAAUUCUACAAAUGCUCAUUGCCACAGCAGCCUUGUUUUUUUUUUUCAUUGACCCGAAAGACUGGCAAGACCUAAGAAAAACGCAGAAAGGGAGGCUUUUCAAAGGACUGCAGUGGACUAAUGUUGUAGCCACUGGCAUUAAGUCAGUACACCCAUUUUGCAGUUUUGGAUUUAAGAGGCAUACCAUCAACACCAGUCAGUCACGGUCUAAGAGGGCUGUGUUCUCAUGUAAGGCAUACUGCCGUUUUAAGGAUUGUCCAGUGACUGUGACAGUGGAGGUUAAAGAUGAAAAAACCCUGAAGGCUGAUGUGCUUUUCCAAGGAGGUGAGGUGUGCCACAACACAAAGGAAAUAAAAACAAGACCUGUGCGUGGACACUCCAGAGACGAAAUAGCAGAACAACUGGAAACCAAAAUGCCAAGAAGUCUUUAUCUGGAUUCUCUAAUUAAAAUACCAGAAAAAGCUUUCCAAGCCGGGUGUCGGGAUGAGGCUCCAUCUAAAGAGGUCUUGAAAAAUAUUGCCUGGUCCCA